rnacentral:misc_RNA from 1 species
AUAUCAAGCCACCAAGAAAAGAAUUGGAAGUGAAUGAAAGAGAAUAUUUACGACAUUUUAUUGUCGGUACGUGUAUCAAGAGGAAAAUGUUCUAGCAAGUUCCCGUGUGGUUACUUUUAUCGCGCCGGAUACCUAAUCAACCUAAGUAUUAUAUUACUAUUUCGGAGCGAGCAACUCGUAAUCAUCUUCGUAAUAACGUUUACCUCGUUUCUAAUUAAUCAGAGCCAUUCUCGCGAAUUCAUUUUACUUUCAAUUAACCCGUUCCUGUUUCUUUAAUAAAAAUUUUCUAAUAAAUUUUGGAAGAUGCCAAAACUUUUAAAAGAAAGUAACGAGAAAUGCUCUGACAUAUCGCAGCGUCUUAGGUUGCUUUACUUUGUUUUGACAGAGAAGAGCAAAGAGGAAUGCUCAAAAAGUUAAAAAAGACUAUGUUCUGGUCUAAAGUUAUUUAAAAUGAACAUGCCAUGGAUUUUAGGUGAAAAUUUUAAGCAGAAUAUUAAUAGUAGAAGCAGGAAUGUUUGGAAAAUGGAAUUUUUGGAUAAUUAAGUUUCUUUUUCUUUCUAUUUCAAACGCUUCAUGUUAAUACUUCGCAAGAAACUGACAGAAAGAUUGUUAAUACUUUUUGAUAUGAAUAAAUUAUACUGAUACACAUGAUUCAUACUAACGCUGAUUCGGCGAGUGCAUGAACUUUGAUGCCUACUCAAAGUUCAGUAUAAUCUUCGUCGAUUUAAUUUUUGUGCGAUGGUCGACGAGUAACUCGUCCAUUUCAAUUUACAUCUCAUGUAAAUCUACAAAUUGAGUUGAAUCGAAAUCCUGUUCGACAUUUCAAUGAAAUUUUCUAUACAAACCAGUAUCCGUUUAUUGAUUCAGCUUCAUCGAAACUGAAUGCCUAAAUAGACAAGUCGAAGUAACUUGUUCUUAAUGAGAUUUUGAAAACAGCUGACGCGUAUUCUACGAAGCUAAGAUUUAUAGAAUUAAAGCGAACAUUUUAUAUGCUAUAUGUGUAUACGAUGUAAUUCAAUUCAUCUUCCUUUAUUAAACUAUUAAUAAACUGGUUAAAAAUAAGCUGAAGGAUUCUGCGAUUUUUAGAAUAUUCUGAAUUUAAUAUUUCGUUUGAAAGUUAUUCUUUCAGUCUCUUCUAAAAUCAAUUCCGAAUUUAAACCAGCGGACAUCGAUAGCCCGUAACCUGGUAUCCUUUGAUCCUAUAGAAUCUGAAAAAUAUUUAUUCGAUGAUAAGAAACAUUUUCGAAGAUUUUCCACGUGAAUUUCUAUAUGUUA